GUGGGAGCAAGAGCCCGGAGAUGGAUUCUGAGACACGAAUCCAGGCCCUACGGGGCGCAGCAGGCGCGAAAACUUUACAAUGCAGGAAACUGUGAUAAGGGAACCCCGAGUGCCCGUAUGGACGGGCUGUUCAGGUGCUUAAAAACCACCUGGAGAAAGGGCCGGGCAAGACCGGUGCCAGCCGCCGCGGUAAUACCGGCGGCUCGAGUGGUGGCCACUAUUACUGGGCUUAAAGCGUCCGUAGCUUGGUCGUUAAGCCUCUGGGGAAAUCUUCCGGCUCAACCGGAAGGCGUCUCAGGGGAACUGGCGACCUAGGGAUCGGGAGAGGUGAGAGGUACUCUGGGGGUAGGAGUGAAAUCCUGUAAUCCUCAGGGGACCACCUGUGGCGAAGGCGUCUCACCAGAACGACUCCGACAGUGAGGGACGAAAGCUGGGGGAGCAAACCGGAUUAGAUACCCGGGUAGUCCCAGCCGUAAACUAUGUGCGUUAGGUGAGUAUUGGGAAUUCCUGCAGC
rnacentral:rRNA from 1 species